CUCACACAGCAAACUACAGGAGGGCUGGAACCCUGCCUCCAGAUUCCCCUGCAUCUUUCAUCUGUCCUGAAGUCUGUUUGUUGAAACUAUAGACCUGGAAGUCAUGGAUACAGAGGGACAGAUGUAUGAUAUCUCUUCAUAAGGAUAUUACAAAAUUUGCAGUGGGGAGUGAGAAGAAGAUGUUUUAUGCUGUCAAGUGCUUCACAAAGAUUUUUGAGGAUUAUCCAUAUUGGUGCAGGAAGAAAAGCACUGGAAUCUACCCUUGGGAAAGUGAGAUGCUCACUCUCUGGGAGUCAAGCACAGGAAUCAGCAUCACCCAAAGGAACAAUGGAAUCAUUAUGACCCAUUUUACACUCCAGAGCAGACACAAAGUCAUCUUCCCCUGUCUCUUCUCCCUCCUCCACUCUCUCUCCCUUCCUUAAAUAUGUGCACUUGAGCUCAUUAUACUAUAAUCUUCUGUCUUACAUUAUAAAGUAGAGGUAAGGGUCUAUGUUGUAUAGUUCAGCAUUGUCCAAUUGAAAUGUAAUGUGAGUCACAUGUAUAAUUUUAAAUGUUCUACUAGUCAUGAUCUAAAAAGACAAAAGAAAUAGAUAAAUGAAUUUUUACAUCUUUCAUUUGACCCAAUAUCUAAAAUAGUAUACAUAUAUAUUAUGCAUUCGAUAUAUAAUCAUUAUAAAAUUAUUGAGAUUGUUUAUUUUUUUCAUUUGAAGUAUUCAAAAUCUGAGGUGUAUUUUACAAAUAGCUCAAGUUAAUUUGGAGCAACCACAUGUCAAGAGCUCAGUAGCCACAGGUGCUAGUGGAUACAAUUUUAGCACAGAUGGGUCUUAAAAAUCUGACCUGAAAACACACUGAGCAGUCCUUGGCGUUCCAUUCUUCACAUUGGUAAUUGAACAUUGUGAGGAGUUUGACUCUUUGCACGUGACUAGAAGGGUCUGUGCACAGGGGUGUCCAGGGCUGUUGGGAUGGCUUAACUGAAGCUGUACCUGCCGGGUUGGCCAGUCUGGCCGGAGGCUCUGGCACUACCAGCCUUUACAUAAUCUUGGGAAGGUCACUUAACCUCCUAAGCUCUGUGGGCCUCAGUUUCUCUCUCUAUAAAAGCAAGGGUGAGCUAGAAAUGUUUCAAGAGCGCCUGUGGCACUGACAAUACUGCUGGUUCCAUCUUCCAUUGCCAGUCUGCCUUAGGGUUAAGGAUAGUGGCUGGUGCCGAGGGACGAGCUGCUGUUUGCCUUCCUAACACAGAGAACCGAGAGCCUUUCAUUAGAAACAGACUCCUACAUGGUCCCAGGGAGCCUGACUAUAAACCUUUGUUCUUUGAGGAGGACUUUGAUUCCGCCCAAGGCCAGACUGGCAUCUUAGAAGUCCACAGUCAGAAAGAACCACAAACCAACUCCCCUGGGUGGCAUGGUCCAGGCAGUGCUUUAUUUAGAUAAUCCACAUAGAGAUGCUACAGUUCGGUCUGGACAUUUGAUUAUAUGGUUUUGAUGCCAUGUAGCCUUACAGGAAAUCAGGAGCACUGAUGAAACCCUGGCUCACACCAAAUUCACUGGAUCCUGACUCAGUUUCCCUUUUUAUCAACUAGGUAGUAUAAUUAGUACUUAUGAUGUAGGCAUGAUGGCUCCCAAAUCCUGUCUUAAAGAAACACAGACUCUAAGGAAAGCUCUCUUCCUAAUGCAACAGUCAGGAGGGGCCCCUUGUUAGGGCAUUCAGGUCCCAGGAUUCUGGCAAAUUGUCUUUGGAAAUAAACCUGAAGUCAAUAUGGUCCUAUAUUUCCUUGCAUUAUCUUUUAAAAUAGACACAUCACCACCUAAUGACCUCCAUUCUUGAUGGCCAUGGUGGUAUGCACCUGGAGUCCCAGUGAAUCCGAGGCUGAGGCAGGAGGAUCACGUGAACCCAGGAGUAGGUCCAGCUUGGGCAACAUAGUGAGACCCUGUUUCUUAAAACAAACAAACAAAAACCAAAAGUUAGUUUCUUUCUGAGAGCUCAAUUUUCUGGAAUAUUUUUGGUUUGAUUCUUCAGUGUUGUGAGAUUUAUUUUCAGGUGUUACUUUUAAUUUCAAAAGUAAUUUAUAACUCAAUUUAAUUUUAAAAAUUUCAUAUACACACACACACACACCAAGUACAAAUUCAAAUACUACAAAAGGAUAUUCAAUAAAAAGUAAACAUCUUCCUCAUUCUAGCCAAACACCAACCUGUUCCCAGUUUGCUGUGUAUCAUUUUAGAGCUAUUCUAUGCAUAAAAUAUGUAUUUUCAGACUUUUUUUUAAAAGAUGUACUGUUUAAUUUUAAAGCUACUUUAACUCAAGACAAGGUAAAAAGGUAGGAAACUGUGGAUUAAAAAAGAAAAGGGCCUGGGGUAUAAUUGUUUUAAAUGAUGUGUUGAUGUGUUGAGUUUAAAAAUAUUUUGAUGUGUUCCAAUGCAUGGAAAACAAGAUGCUGUGAAUCAUUGUCUUGAAUAAACUGUCCAAUAUGAUUAUAUAGUUUUGUGUUCACCAUGGCAAGGUCACCUUAACGAGUUUACAUAAUAAUAAACAGAAAACAGAAAGCUACCCAAUAAACCGAAGGAAGUGGAGAGGGAGGGGGAGGAGCAGAAAGCUGACAGCUUCAGGAACUGGCAUAUAGAGAA